rnacentral:rRNA from 1 species
UUUGAUGGCAACCGGCGCACGGGUGAGUAACACGUAUCCAACCUGCCGAUGACUCGGGGAUAGCCUUUCGAAAGAAAGAUUAAUACCCGAUGGCAUAGUUCUUCCGCAUGGUAGAACUAUUAAAGAAUUUCGGUCAUCGAUGGGGAUGCGUUCCAUUAGGUUGUUGGCGGGGUAACGGCCCACCAAGCCUUCGAUGGAUAGGGGUUCUGAGAGGAAGGUCCCCCACAUUGGAACUGAGACACGGUCCAA